UGACCCCCCACACGGGCACUGAGACACGGGCCCGACUCCUACGGGAGGCAGCAGUAAGGGAUAUUGCGACAAUGGGCGAAAGCCUGACGCAGCAACGCCGCGUGGAGGAUGAAGGCCUUCGGGUUGUAAACUCCUUUUCUGUGGGAAGAGGAAUGACGGUACCACAGGAAGAAGUCUCGGCUAACUACGUGCCAGCAGCCGCGGUAAAACGUAGGAGGCGAGCGUUAUCCGUGAUUACUGGGUGUAAAGCGCGUGCAGGCGGCUUGGUAAGUCGAGCGUGAAAGCUCCCGGCUCAACCGGGAGAGGACGUGCGAAACUGCGAGGCUAGAGACAGGUAGAGGCGUACGGAAUUCCGGGUGUAGUGGUGAAAUGCGUAGAUAUCCGGAGGAACACCAGUGACGAAGGCGGUACGCUGGGCCUGGUCUGACGCUAAGACGCGAAAGCAUGGGGAGCGAACGGGAUUAGAAACCCCGGUAGUCCAUGCCGUAAACGAUGCUAACUAGGUGUUGCGGGUAAAAGACCGGCAGUGCCGGAGUUAACGCGAUAAGUUAGCCACCUGGGGACUACGGUCGCAAGGCUAAAACUCAAAGGAAUUGACGGGGGCCCGCACAAGCAGCGGAGCGUGUGGUUUAAUUCGAGGCUACACGAAGAACCUUACCUGGGCUUGACAUGACGGUGGUAGGGAACCGAAAGGGGACCGACCUUCGGGAGCCGUCACAGGUGCUGCAUGGCUGUCGUCAGCUCGUGUCGUGAGAUGUUCGGUUAAGUCCGGUAACGAGCGCAACCCUCAUCGCUAGUUACAAGUGUCUAGCGAGACUGCCCGUUCAACGCGGGAGGAAGGCGGGGAUGACGUCAAGUCAGCAUGGCCUUUAUGUCCAGGGCUACACACACGCUACAAUGGCCGGUACAAUGGGUCGCCAACCCGCGAGGGGGAGCCAAUCCACCAAAGCCGGUCACAGUUCGAAUUGCAGGCUGCAACCCGCCUGCAUGAAGUCGGAGUUGCUAGUAACCGCAGGUCAGCUAUACUGCGGUGAUACGUUCCCGGGCCUUGUACACACCGCCCGUCACGUCAUGGGAGCUGGUCAUGCCUGAAGUCGGUGAGCCAACCGCAAGGUAGGCAGCCGCCUAAGGCAGGGCUGGUGACUGGGACGAAGU
rnacentral:rRNA from 1 species